UACGGGAGGCAGCAGUGAGGAAUAUUGGACGAUGGAGGCAACUCUGAUCCAGCCAUGCCGCGUGCAGGAAGACUGCCCUAUGGGUUGUAAACUGCUUUUAUACAGGAAGAAACACUGCUACGUGUAGCAGCUUGACGGUACUGUAAGAAUAAGGAUCGGCUAACUCCGUGCCAGCAGCCGCGGUAAU
rnacentral:rRNA from 1 species